rnacentral:rRNA from 1 species
GGCAUGGAUUAGGCAUGCGAGUCGAACGCGAAAGAGGGGGCAACCCCUCAAGUAGAGUGGCGAACGGGUGAGUAACGCGUGAAGAACCUGCCUUCGAGAGGGGGAUAACACUCCCAACGGGGUGCUAAUACCGCAUGAGACCACGGGUCCACCUGGACCUGAGGUCAAAGGUGGCCUCUGCUUGCAAGCUACCGCUCGAAGAUGGCUUCGCGUCCCAUUAGCUAGUUGGCGGUGUAACGGACCACCAAGGCGACGAUGGGUAGCUGGUCUGAGAGGAUGGUCAGCCACACUGGGACUGAGAUACGGCCCAGACUCCUACGGGAGGCAGCAGUCGAGAGGCUUUGGCAAUGGGGGAAACCCUGACCAAGCGACGCCGCGUGGAGGAUGAAGGCCCUUGGGUUGUAAACUCCUUUUGUUGGGGAAGAAAUGCGAUCAGGUGAACAAUCUGGUCGUUUGACGGUACCCAGCGAAUAAGCUCCGGCUAACUCCGUGCCAGCAGCCGCGGUAACACGGGGGGAGCAAGCGUUGUUCGGAAUUACUGGGCGUAAAGGGCGUGUAGGCGGUCAGAUAAGUGGAAUGUGAAAUGCCCCGGCUCACCCGGGGACCGGCAUCCCAAACUGUCUGGCUUGAGUAUGGGAGAGGAUGGAGGAAUUCCUGUGUAGCGGUGAAAUGCGUAGAUAUCAGAGGAACACCGGUGGCGAAGGCGUCCAUCUGGCCCAUACUGACGCUGAGGCGCGAAAGCUAGGGAGCGAACGGGAUUAAAUACCCCGGUAGUCCUAUCCGUAACGUGAUCACUAGUGUUGGGGCAUCGACCCUCCCGUGCCCAGCUACGCAUUAAGUGAUCCGCCGGGGGA